AUACUUUCAUGGUGGAAGAUGCAGUGGAAGCCAUUGGCUUUGGAAAAUUUCAGUGGAAGCUGUCUGUUCUCACUGGCUUGGCUUGGGCAAGUAUUUCUGGGGGGCAGUGGCUCAGCCUCCAAGAAACCCCCAUGCUGCUCAACUGGGUUUCCAUGGCCUACAAGGAAGGACACAGUUCUUUGCACAUGGAGCCUUUGCUUGAAUUUCAAUCAACAAAAUUUAUGUGGCGUAAUAAGUGGU
rnacentral:lncRNA from 1 species